GGCUUCCUGGUGCUCAUCACAGGCUGCAUUCUGACACUUACUGUAUAGAAAGAGAAGGAAAAGUAAACCUACCCCAUAUACACCUCAGCCCAGGCCCUGUGCCUGGUCUGUAUUAUGAAUGGGAAGACAUGG
rnacentral:snoRNA from 1 species